rnacentral:rRNA from 1 species
GAUGAACGCUAGCGGCAGGCCUGACACAUGCAAGUCGAGGGGCAGCACAGAAACAGCAAUGUUUUGGUGGCGACCGGCGGACGGGUGCGUAACGCGUAUGCAACCUACCUUUAACAGGGGGAUAACGGAGAGAAAUUUCCACUAAUACCCCAUAACAUCGAUCAAGGCAUCUUGAUUGGUUGAAAACUCCGGUGGUUAAAGAUGGGCAUGCGUUGUAUUAGGUAGUUGGUGAGGUAAUGGCUCACCAAGCCUACGAUACAUAGGGGGACUGAGAGGUUAGCCCCCCACACUGGUACUGAGACACGGACCAGACUCCUACGGGAGGCAGCAGUGAGGAAUAUUGGUCAAUGGGGGCAACCCUGAACCAGCCAUGCCGCGUGCAGGAAGACGGCUCUAUGAGUUGUAAACUGCUUUUAAACAGGGAUAAAGCACGGUAUGUAUACUGUGUUGAAGGCACUGUAAGAAUAAGGAUCGGCUAACUCCGUGCCAGCCGCCGCCGUAA